rnacentral:rRNA from 1 species
AACGAACGCUGGCGGCAUGCCUAACACAUGCAAGUCGAACGAGACCUUCGGGUUUUGUUGCGCACGUCUGGGUAACGCGUGGUAACUUGCCCUUAGGUUCGGUACACUUCCCUGAAGGGGGUCUUAAUACCGGUUAGUGUCUUCGGACCUAGGAUGUCUUGCUUUGUGAUGGGGCCGCGUUGGUUUCGUUAGUUGGGAGGGUAAAAGCCUACCAAGGCGAGGAUCCAUAGCUGGUGUGUGAGGAUGAUCAGCCAGACUGGGACUCGGACACGGCUCAGACGGGUACGAGAAGCAGCAGUGAGGAAUAAUGGGCAAUGAGCGUAAGGCUGAUCCAGCGAUGCCGCGUGGGUGAUGAAGGGGUUAGAAUUGGAAAGCGCUUUUACCCAAGAGGAUAAUGACAGAACGGGGAAAAUAAGCUCCGCCUAACUCCUU